rnacentral:rRNA from 1 species
CCUACGGGUGGCUGCAGUGGGGAAUAUUGGACAAUGGGCGAAAGCCUGAUCCAGCCAUGCCGCGUGUGUGAAGAAGGCCUUCGGGUUGUAAAGCACUUUCAGUGGGGAAGAAAGCCUUGGGGCUAAUACCCUCGAGGAAGGACAUCACCCACAGAAGAAGCACCGGCUAACUCCGUGCCAGCAGCCGCGGUAAUACGGAGGGUGCGAGCGUUAAUCGGAAUUACUGGGCGUAAAGCGCGCGUAGGCGGUCUGAUAAGCCGGUUGUGAAAGCCCCGGGCUCAACCUGGGAACGGCAUCCGGAACUGUCAGGCUAGAGUGCAGGAGAGGAAGGUAGAAUUCCCGGUGUAGCGGUGAAAUGCGUAGAGAUCGGGAGGAAUACCAGUGGCGAAGGCAGUCUUCUGGACUGACACUGACGCUGAGGUGCGAAAGCGUGGGUAGCAAACAGGAUUAGAUACCCGAGUAGUC